AUUGAACGCUGGCGGCAUGCCUUACACAUGCAAGUCGAACGGCAGCACGGGGCAACCUGGUGGCGAGUGGCGAACGGGUGAGUAAUGCAUCGGAACGUACCUUUCAGUGGGGGAUAACGUAGCGAAAGUUACGCUAAUACCGCAUAUUCUGUGAGCAGGAAAGCAGGGGAUCGCAAGACCUUGCGCUGAUUGAGCGGCCGAUGUCAGAUUAGUUAGUUGGUGAGGUAAAGGCGCACCAAGGCGACGAUCUGUAGCGGGUCUGAGAGGAUGAUCCGCCACACUGGAACUGAGACACGGUCCAGACUCCUACGGGAGGCAGCAGUGGGGAAUUUUGGACAAUGGGGGCAACCCUGAUCCAGCCAUGCCGCGUGAGUGAAGAAGGCCUUCGGGUUGUAAAGCUCUUUCGGCCGGGAAGAAAUCGCACGGGCUAAUACCCUGUGUGGAUGACGGUACCGGAAUAAGAAGCACCGGCUAACUACGUGCCAGCAGCCGCAGUAACAC
rnacentral:rRNA from 1 species